AUGGAAUCAUGUGGUUACAUUCAUGGCCCUUCCGUAGUUCCGUUGGAACAUCUUUUCGUGGGAGCAGUUGUUGUUAACGUUCGUUUUCGUGCUAGUUUAAUUACAAAUUACAGUAGAAGCGCGGAGGAACAGAGGAAGUGUCGGUUUGCUUUGCUUUCCGGGAGAUUUCUCAUACAUUCGCUUUUGCAAAAGGAAAAAUGA
rnacentral:rRNA from 1 species